CCCGGCCCCACCAGAGGGCAUCAGCUAUGCCUAGAAGGGGACCACAACAGACUCGACAGGAUCCACCGGUUGGGCCCAAGGCAGGAGGAAGGGCGGCGCCCCCAAACUCCCAGGACGCCUGCAGCACCCCCCACGCGCCGCUCUCCGCCUCUGGGGAGCAUCCUGCCACCCCCCGACACACACACCCCGGCUACAUCCCGCCUUCUCACGCUUGGUCAGGCGCUCUGGAGAUGUCGGAGAUCCAGGCUUUUCCUAAAGAGUCAGGAUUGGAAGGCGGACUCCCACCGUUUGCUGAGCUCCACAUGACAACAGCAGACGACAGGCCGCACUGAUCCCACCUGGCUUACAGGUGCUGUCACACAGGACUGCUGACUAAACACUUUCAAGCACAGUGGACCCUUGAACAACGCAGGUUCAAACUGUGCAGGUCCACCCACAGGGAUGUUUUUCAAUCAGAGUUAUACCAAGUGUCCCUGCCUCUCCUGCCUCCCUUCCCACUUCCUCCAUGUCUUCCUCUCUGCCACCCUGAGGCAGCAAGACCAGCCCCUCCUCCUCAGCCACUCAACAUGAAGACAACGAGGAUGAAGACUUCUAUGAUAAUCCACUUCCACUUAGUAAAUGCUUUCUCUUAUGAUAUUCUUAAUGACAUUUUAUUUUCCCAAGCUUAGUUUAUUGUAAGAAUACAGUAUAAAUACACAUACAAAGUACGUGUUAACUGAUUUUUUAAUGUUACCAGUAAGGCUUCC
rnacentral:lncRNA from 10 species